CCUGUCCAACCUGGCAGGCAGCGGCAUCGACCAGGGAUCGGAGUUCCUCCAUGUUUACAUGCGUAUCUGUUACAUGGUGUAUUACGCUGGAACGAAUAUGGACAUGAUCCUCCACAUUUUUCACGUUGUGUUUUGCUUCUCGAUUGUGUCCGUUCUCCCGUAGAGCCGCAUCUAUGACUACAACUACUCCACCAUGACCACGAGCUUACUUUGCACCCCCGAGCUUUACAGCCUCCUCCACCUCCCCCAUCACUUCUACGUCUUGGACAACUGCUGACGUCUUGAACAACUUGCAGGAAUGAUAAGACUACAAUGUAAGCCAACACGAUAAUCACUGCCUUC